GAAACUGGGAGGGACUGGGUCUAGAACUAGGACUGUAUCAGCAACCAGCACUCUCCAACUUACAACAUACUCAUUGUAGGGGGCUGCUCUUAGGUAGUGUCUUGCUGCCUGGUGAUGGUGUGCCUGGUGAUGGUGUGUGGAUAAAAAUGGAAAAGCUAACUAUAUGCAAAUGCUGUAGAGAGAUCGGGACAAAGAGCUAUAGAACAUUUGACAUUAAUUUUGAAACAAUGUGGAAUUGAAACAGUGCUGCAGCACUAGAGGAGGCUCCUCCCAUUGGUAUGUAUUUACUACAAAGAAUAUAAAACAUUGAGGGCUCCGCCUCCUGACUUCACCUUCCAGUCACACCCAAACGUAUGUACAUGCAGACAAAUUCUUUUUAUUUUUAUUAAGAGACUGGAGUGAAGACUUCAUCGACUCCAUUACAGGAAGAUAGUUACAUUGCAGAAGAAAAA